CCAUAGGGUAACCUAAACACUAAGGUAUUCAACUUACAAUUGAAAAAUGUUCCCCUGAACCCCUAUGA
rnacentral:tRNA from 1 species